rnacentral:rRNA from 1 species
AACUUUCAACAAUGGAUCUCUUGGUUCUGGCAUCGAUGAAGAACGCAGCGAAAUGCGAUAAGUAAUGUGAAUUGCAGAAUUCCGUGAAUCAUCGAAUCUUUGAACGCACAUUGCGCCCUCUGGUAUUCCGGGGGGCAUGCCUGUUCGAGCGUCAUUGCAACCCCUCAAGCUCA